GAGCCAUCCUCGAAGGCUGCUGGGAGGUUGUCUAUCUCAGCCUGGUAGACCUUCUGGUCAAUGCAUUCCUUCAUGUUCUUGAAGAUGAUGCUUGUGUGAGGUGCUGGUUGCCAGAGGCUGACACUCAUGGUGAUGUGCCUGUGCCUGGUACCCUGGGCAGCCCAAGCAGUCGAUAUUACUGACACUGUGAUUGCUAGUCUUGCUCCUCACAGCAGGGACUGAAGCCUCGCAGACCCACAGUGCCCUUGACACCUUCACACCAGCAGCCUCAUGCUUACCUGAGCCCAGGAGAGCAGAUGGAACUUAACCAAAUCCCCCCAGGUUCCUGCCAAGGCAACCAAAACCCUCGGCCAGGCUCACCGGCAGGAGCGAUCUGACAUGGCUGCCUCAUUGGGAGAUGCUCCUGCAGCUUUCGCCACCUCCUCUCCCCUCCCAGGUAAUGUGGGGACUGCAGCAAAGGCCACGGGGGGAAAACACGGCCCCACACACGUGUGCAGAUGCCGGCAGCACGGACCUCGCUCCUGCCAAACCUUUGGCACGUGGGUUGAACUUCAUGGCUGCAGUGGCAGUGCUGCUCUCCAUCACCCACCUUGCAGCAUCCGUCACCUGGCCGUUUUGAAGGGGGGAGGGUUGUCCAAACCAAAGUCCUCGAUGUUUCUGUUCCAUGUUAGCGGAUUAAAAACCCUGUCUCUCUUGCAGACGUGUCUAAAGGGAAAAUGUCUCUUGGGCUUGAACCUGCUUCACCCUUGCAGGGGUUUGCAAUUUGCUGUAAAAAUCAGGCAGGGUGUCUCGGGCGGCUUCCUUUGUGACAUCGGAGCUCGCCAGCAGCAAACAGGGCUCCGAAUCUGGCACGUAGCACUGAAAGGCAUGAAUCCCUGGAGAUUAGAGGGUUGGGUUUUGGUGGGGGGUUUUUUUUGUUUGUUUUUUUUUUCCCACAAUGCCAUUCAGGGCCUGGAAAGGCUGUCCCUGUCACCUCGACCCAGUCCAGCUCUCCAGCACGGCUAUGCAAAUUGGUCAGUGCUUUUGCAGGCAACAUUAGAACUCGGAUGAGCAGGAGCUCCCCGGGGGCUGCACAGGCACGCUGGGCUGGAGAACUCGCUGCUUUUUUCCUUCGAGGAAUAGGCAAAGUGGCCUCAAUAUUUGCAGAAAAUGCUGUUAACUAUUGCAAAGGGAAAAGUUAAAGGCUGGGAGCGGCGGAGGGAGCUGGGAGCGAGUGGGUAACGUGCAGCCUGCAAAACUUCGGCUGCCGCUAGACACGGCAUCCCUGCAUUUGCUUAAUGAACAUUUGCUUUUGGCUUGUGCUGGAGCAACACAGAAGAAAAACAAAUUCCUUGGGAUAAAAGCAGCUCUCUGCCACGGUAUUAGAAGCACAAAGGUGUCCGCAACACGGCAUAGAUGAGAUUUGUUUAACACUCCUCUGAGCCUUUUAAACCACAAAUUAACGAACUUCAGACCGACGCAAUAUUGAUGGUAAUCUUUCCUUUUUAAUUCGCUUACUUGUUCAUUCGUUUUCCUGCUCAGUGCUUGCUGGAUCUGACAAGGGUUCCUCGCUCUGCACCGGCUUAAAGGGGAAAGGUUACGGUCCAGCAAGAAAUGGUUUCCCAGCUGGCCCUGUGUACAGAAGAUGCAGGACGCCGCAUCCCCGCACACCCCAGGGUCUCGCCCCUGCCGCACGUCGCCUUUCUGGGCUCCAUCAGCUGGGGCUGCAUCGGCGUGACCACGGCUGGGUACCACGGCCCAGGAGGGACCCGAGUGCCUGAGCCCGUGGUACCAGGACCGGGAGGGCCAAAGCAAAUGUGUGUGUUGAUGUCGCUGCAUCCAAAGAUUUCCCCGGCUGGGAGGGAAAUUGCUGGCUCGCUGUGGCCUGGAGAGACACCAGAGAGAUGCGCCGACGACCAGAGUUAAGGGUAAAAGGGAGUAAAAUCUUCCAGGAGCGGGGAUGGACGUCUCAGUGCGUGCUGCCCCGGCUGUGCUGAGCGGUGCCCCCAGCCACGUUCACCCUCCCUGCCCCGACGUCUUGACACGCGGAUAAAAGCCAGGCUGAAGGGACGAUUUCACAGAGAUUAACCUCACGCGCUGCGCUGGGGCUGCCGCUGCCCUUGACACUGGGUCCCCCAUGUAUCAAAGGUGGAUUACAGAUAUAUUAGCCCCGCUGCUGGUUUUAUUAGUGGUGGUUUAUCACGUGGAGGGGGCCAGCCAAGGGCAGGGGAUGGAGGAGCCCAGCCACACUCCAGGGACCCAGACCGUCACAGAGAGGCUUUAAUUGAAUUUUGGGGAGGAGACCUGGGCUGGGGUCAGUGUUUGCUGCCUGGCCCUGGUACAGCCCGGCUCCCCAAGAUUUGUGGUGCUGAUGGGUGAUGCCUGCGGUGCCCAUGGCGAGGGAGAAGGGAAGCCUUUGGCCUCACUGCAGGCAGGGCUGCCCCUGUGCACCACCCCGGGCUAGGUUUAGAGAGAUUUGAUUCAAAAAUAAAUCAAUCCCCUUUGGGAGGCACUCAGACGGCUUCUGCCGGGGAUGGAGAUGCCAGUCCUGUCCUGCCUGGGCACAUCCCUCCUCAUCCCACACAAAACCUCCCCUGGGCUGGAGGAAUUUGCCUCCUUCGACCCAAACAAAUGCCUUCGAACCCUGAGCAUCCCCGUGCGGCACCGGGGUACCCAAACCCAAGGGGGUUCAGGUGGAUGCUGGGAUGCCCGGCAUCGAUGCAACGAGGCACAUCGAGGAGGUGGGGGCGGGAUUUGAGCCUGAAAGAGGUUAAAGUGGGGCAAAGCAGGGGGGAAGAGAAACCUCCCGAACAGGGUGUUUUAAUGACAUUCCAUUAAAGCUCCCUUUGGGGCUGGCGCGGCAGCCAUGUGCUCCACAUUCUCAUGGUAAUUAUGAGACAUCUGUAUAGAGGCUCUUUUCUCAUCAAAGAUGGCUCUCUUCAAAGACACUCCUGGGAAACCCUUCACCUCUGACCCAGGGGGGUCACUGCCGAAACAGUGGCUCUAUAGUGUGCGUUACUGUAAAGCCCAGUAUCCUUUUUCCUCCCCUAACCUGACCAGUUCCUGGCUUUUCAGGCACGAUUGGUUGAGCUUGAGAGGGUUGGGGGGGGGCCCACCGGUUUCAGAGAAGGGUCUCCCACACACACACCACCACCACAGGUGCCAGUCCUGGGUGCCAUCACCAUCAUCACCUGCGCUGACCCCAGGCACAGGAGGGAGAUCAAAGUAGGAUGAAAAGGUGUUUAAUGAGAGCGGACAGGGCUGAGGGUUUCCUGUCCCCGCACUGGGGAAGGGGCAGCCUCUGCCCCCCACAGUGUCACCCAUCACCGCUCUCUGCCUGGUGCACCCCACCCAGGAAGUGCCAGGUCCCAGGGAGUGAUUUUUGGUGAUUGCCACAAAAACCCCCACCGUCCUCCACGCUGUGGAGGUGACGGGGACAUGCCUGAGGUCCCCCCCAGCCACAAAACAUGGGCACUUCAUCACUGUGAGGGUGCUCGAUGUCCCCACAUCCCCUGGGGAUGGAGACCACCUUGUCCCAUGGGGAUGUUUCCAGCAGAGCCGGCAUCACCGUCCCAUCCACAGCACUGGCAUCACUGUCCCAUCCAUGCCACCAGUGACCCUGAUGUCCCACCUCCCCAGCUGGGGGACAACGGCCUUGGGACAAAGGCGACAGAUGCCUGGCAGGUCCCUUGGUGCCGGCGUGAGCGGCUCCAUCAUGCCAGCAUGGCACAAGUGAAUGCUCCCCACGGCCCUUUCCAAUAAGUGGCAAAUGAUUCUUCGUCCUGUCGCUCCCCGGCAGCAAUAAACCUUAAUCACAAUGAAGUCA